AUUGAACGCUGGCGGAAUGCUUUACACGUGCAAGUCGAACGGCAGCACGGAUUUCGGUCUGGUGGCGAGUGGCGAACGGGUGAGUAAUGUAUCGGAACGUGCCCAGUCGUGGGGGAUAACGUAGUGAAAAUUACGCUAAUACCGCAUACGAUCUAUGGAUGAACGCGGGGGAUCGCAAGACCUCGCGCGAUUGGAGCGGCCGAUAUCAGAUUAGGUAGUUGGUGGGGUAAAGGCCCACCAAGCCAACGAUCUGUAGCUGGUCUGAGAGGACGACCAGCCACACUGGAACUGAGACACGGUCCAGACUCCUACGGGAGGCAGCAGUGGGGAAUUUUGGACAAUGGGCGAAAGCCUGAUCCAGCCAUUCCGCGUGCAGGAUGAAGGCCCUCGGGUUGUAAACUGCUUUUGUACAGAACGAAAAGGUUUCUACUAAUACUAGGAGCUCAUGACGGUACUGUAAGAAUAAGCACCGGCUAACUACGUGCCAGCCGCCGCAGUAA
rnacentral:rRNA from 1 species